CCAACAGGGGUGAGAGUUAAGGAGGACGCAUACCCACUCUAGCCAUGCUAAUGUUGACUGAGGAGUGUUUAGGGAAGGUACUGACCCCACCCCUCGGACACCAAUUGUCUCAGAACACUGAUUUUAUCCUUGCAAGGAUAACACCUUGAUGUGGUUCUCCUCAUGCACUGUUACAAGCAUCUAAGAUGAUGCUCGCUCUAGUCAACAGCAGGAUGUUCUACUAAUGGAAAACUCCAACAGCCUUCAAAUGCUGUAAGCAGCUAUGACUGCAGCCCAGCUCUGUUAGUAACUUGUUCAAAGCCUGAGUAGGGCUGCAGAUUUUUCCUAAGCUUCUGACUAAAGAUAGCAUGUUUCAGAACCCUGGAUCUGCUAGAGAGUUGGCUCAGUUCUCUCCCUCGGACUUCAUUCUGCAUCUGGUCAAGCAACAAGCCAUCAGCUAGCAUCAUAUUGUUACUCAAUUUUGCUGUAGGUAAAGCUGAGGUGUUUGGCAGUGCAACUGAGACUAAUCAGUGCUAAAAGCCCAUGUUUGUGUUAUGCACUUUUUUGGCCAGUACGUGACAGGAUGGUUUUUACCUGGUUCUGAGAUGGCAAGAAUUCCUCUGUGGUAUUAGAGUUCAGUCCCAACAGUGAGGGAGGAUGGGGGGCUAUUUUGCUUAUCUGCCUUUCUCCUUAGAAAGUCAGCAGCCCAGGAUUUGUGCCAUGCCAUCUCUGCCAUGCAGUAGGUAAGGGAUACUUAGCAACGCAAGUUGUCUUUGGGAAUUGCUCCACUUUCUAGAGGCCUGGCUGGUCACUGCCAGAAUCUUAAGAUCCCAGAGUUCUACAGCCUGUUCUGGAAGAGACAGCAUGGAAUUCCCUAGGUUAAGGCUACCAAGUGGAGGUUUUUCUUAAAAGGUAAGUGGGCAUUUUUACAUGAAGGUCAUAGACUUUAAGGUCAGAAGGGGCCAUUAUGAUCAUCUCAUCUGACCUCCUGCACAAUGCAGGUCACAAUUUCACCCACCCACCCAAGUAACAAACCCCUAACCUAUGUCUGAGUUACUGAAAUCCUCAAAUUCCUUUCAGAACAGGGAAAUGGCCACAGAGCUUUAUCAAUAUUCAUUUGAAGGGCUGCUGCUUCUGUUGAUGCCCCUUUAUUUACAAUUUAUGAAAGACUGGCCAUCUUACCUUUGUAGGUAAAUUUUGAUAUGAGACAAGCAAACAUGCUUUCUCCCUUAUAUAUAAAGCAAGCUAAAAAGGGGGAAAAGAGCCUUUUAAGUCUUAGCACCUUUUUGAUUUGAGAUUAUUUGCCUUUGAAGCAUGCAGGCCCUGCAUCUGGAGCACUGAAGUUGUCAAACUGAACCUUGAUGGAUGAAAGCCAACCUAUUAAGUAUCAUUAAUGUGUAGCUGACUUAAUUACUAAGAUCAGAUUGCUUUGAGGGGAUUUAUGCAGGAAUUAUAUGCAUUUGAUCACCAAGAAUUAAAGCAGUAAAUUGUA